CGUAUGUGCACAAAGUCAGAACUAGUGCUGUGAGAUAUGGACAAAAUGUUAUAUCCCGAUGUGGGUAAUUUUCUAUCCUAAAAACGCUAUUUCCAUCCAUCCAUUUGUUUUGUGCGACUUAUCGUCACUUGUGUCGCGGGCGUGAUGGAAUCUAUCCCAGCUAUCUUACCCAGAGAAAAGUCACGCAGGCACGGGGCGAAGGUGCAAACUCCACACGGGCGAGAGUGGAUUUGAACCCCGGGUCCUCAGAUCUCUGAGACAAAUGUGCUAACCAGUCGUGCUGCCCAUAACGCCAUAGAUAAAUAAAUAUACAAUAAAACAAAUAUCCGAUGGAAAAAUACCAUUCAAAAUAUCUGGUAGUACAUCCCGUUUUCUAAGAAUGUACACUGUAUUGUAUAUAUUGUAAUCAUAGUUAUGCAAGUUGUUGCAAAAAUACACGGGGGAGUCUGCUGACCUGUUUUCCGGUGUUGCUCAAGUGACAUUUGCAAAGCAAGCGCGAGAGCCGUUUCGGUCGACAGCAGAGGGCGAUGUUGCGCGACAUGGCGGCCCUCCGAGAUGGAUGAAUUAUGAUGAUGAAUUCACCUGUUUAAAGGUCAGAUGACAAAAAUGUUAUGGGGUCAGUUAAAAUUCAUAUUUGCCAUGGUAGGUUAAUUGAAGACUCUAAAUUGCCCGUUGUUGUGAAUGUAAGUGCGAAUGGUUGUUUGUUUCUAUGUGGCCUGCGAUUGGCUGGCGACCAGUUCAGGGUGUACCGAAGAUAGCUGGGAUAGGCUCCAGCACGCCCGCGACCCAAGUGAGGAUAAGCGGUACAGAAAAUGGAUGGAUGGGUUGUUUAUAUGUUCUGUAAUAAAUGCACGUCACUUCCAGCAAGUUGUCAACUAUAGUUUAGCUAAAAAUGAGGUUUUUAUUCCGUGUAUUGAGCACUCCCCGAACAUACCCGGCGCUCAAGACACUGGGGUGUGGUUACUCUAUCCACCGCAAGGGCUACAGGAACGGACGUUACAAUUGCCAAACACAGCACGCCACACUCUAUACGCAAUGGCGAGCAAUGUGUUGGAACAUGAGGAGGAGAAUUUUGACGUACAGGAGCACCUAACUGAACUUGGCAUCGUCAAACCGUACGCGUUUGAGCCGAUCAGGAAGUUGGAACGUGACAGUGACGACGACCAGCAACCAAGUAGCAGCUGAAAAAGAGAGCGGCCACUGCACUGCCUGCAGAAGAGACGACACAAUACCGCCCAGAGCCGUUUGGAAAUACAGACUGGGUCUACAUGUACAAUGCAUACAGACGAUUCACACGAUGGAUCUAUCACAUCCUUGGGAAGAAAAACAGAAGAGUUCUGCCAUCCUGUGUUGUUAGUAUAAUCCGUGCUCAGUGGGAGAGUGAAAACUACAAUUAUUGUGGAUUUAAAUAUCCAAAAGUCUAAUUAAACCAGAACGUUGUUGAA